rnacentral:rRNA from 1 species
AAAGAUUAAGCCAUGCAUGUGCCAGUAUAAGCAACUUUAUACCGCGAAACUGCGAAUGGCUCAUUAAAUCAGUUAUAGUUCAUUUGAUGGUGACUUUACUACUUGGACAACGGUGGUAAUUCUAGAGCUAAUACAUGCCAAAAACCCCGACGCAAGAAGGGGUGUGUUUAUUAGAUUUCAAACCGAUGUCCUCGCGGAGCCGUUGGUGAUUCAUGAUAACUCAACGCAGCGCAUGGCCUCGUGCCGGCGCGGGAUCAUUCAAAUAUCUGCCCUAUCAAGUUUCGAUGUGAGGGUAGUGUCCUCACAUGCUUUCGACGGGUAACGGGGAAUUAGGGUUCGACUCCGGAGAGGGAGCCUGAGAAACGGCUACCACAUCCAAGGAAGGCAGCAGGCGCGCAAAUUACCCAAUCCCGACACGGGGAGGUAGUGACAAGAAAUACCGAUACAGGGCCUUUUUCGGUCUUGUGAUUGGAAUGAGUACAAUUUAAAUCCAUAACGGAGGAUACAUUAAAGUUGUUGCAGUUAAAACGCCCGUAGUUGAAACUCGGGCCCGGCCCGCCGGUCCGCCUCACCGCGUGCUCUGGUUGGGCGGGGUCUUUCUCCCUGGGAAUCCGCAUUCCCUUCAUUGGGCGUGUCGGGGGACCAGGACUGUUACUGUGAAAAAAUCAGAGUGUUCAAAGCAGGCCUUUGCUCGAAUGCCUUAGCAUGGAAUAACGCAAUAUGACGAGAGGUCCUGUUUCGUUGGUUUCUGCGACCGUCGUAAUGAUUAAUAGGGAUGGUCGGGGGCAUCGGUAUUCGAUCGUCAGAGGUGAAAUUCUUGGAUUGAUCGAAGACCAACAGCUGCGAAAGCAUUUGCCAUGGAUGUUUUCAUUAAUCAAGGACGAAAGUUAGGUGAGCGAAAACGAUCAGAUACCGUUGUAGUCUUAACCGUAAACUAUGCCGACCAGGGAUCGGGCGGUGUCUCUUUGAUGACCCGCUCGGCACCUUGCGAGAAAUCACAAUCUUUGGGUUCU